GAUAUUACUACUUUAGCACUGAUUGGGUCUCAGUUAUUUGUGUGUUAUCAUGCAUGUAUUUAAUUGAGCAGCUACUACAUGCAAGGAGCUGUGAGAAAUGAACAUGAGGCCAAGAUAUUGACCUUGCCCUCAAGGAAUUUACAGUCUUGUCAGAGAGAUAAUCCAUACCCACAAACACCGUAAAAAGUAGACAGAAUUAAGAAGUAUGAGAGCUACACAGAGAACAUGACGGGAAUUCAAAGAAAGUACUACUCCUUUCUUUCAGUGAAGGGUCCAGAGUGGCUCUGAGGUUCAUUUUGAACAUGACGGGAAUUCAAAGAAAGUACUACACCUUUCUUGCAGUGAAGGGUCCAGAGUGGCUCUGAGGUUCAUUUUGAACAUGACGGGAAUUCAAAGAAAGUACUACACCUUUCUUGCAGUGAAGGGUCCAGAGUGGCUCUGAGGUUCAUUUUGUACAUGAAGAGAUGAGAAAGGACAAUCUAAGUGGAAGAUACAGGAGAAACACGGAAACAAACAAAAG
rnacentral:lncRNA from 1 species